GAUGAACGCUGACAGAAUGCUUAACACAUGCAAGUCUACUUGAACUUCGGUUUGGGUGGCGGACGGGUGAGUAACGCGUAAAGAACUUGCCUCACAGUUAGGGACAACAUUUGGAAACGAAUGCUAAUACCUGAUAUUAUGAUUUUAGGGCAUCCUAGGAUUAUGAAAGCUAUAUGUGCUGUGAGAGAGCUUUGCGUCCCAUUAGCUAGUUGGAGAGGUAACGGCUCACCAAGGCGAUGAUGGGUAGCCGGCCUGAGAGGGUGAACGGCCACAAGGGGACUGAGACACGGCCCUUACGCCUACGGGAGGCAGCAGUGGAGAAUAUAGGACAAUGGACCAAAAGUCUGAUCCAGCAAUUCUGUGUGCACGAUGACGUUUUUCGGAAUGUAAAGUGCUUUCAGUUGGGAAGAAAAAAAUGACGGUACCAACAGAAGAAGUGACGGCUAAAUACGUG
rnacentral:rRNA from 1 species